AGAAUCUUAGGUUAAUUUUAAACCUUUAGCCUUCAAAGCUUAAAUCAAACUUUAUUGUUUAGAUUCUG
rnacentral:tRNA from 1 species